rnacentral:rRNA from 1 species
UACGUAGGGUGCGAGCGUUAAUCGGAAUUACUGGGCGUAAAGUGUGCGCAGGCGGCCGCGCAAGUCGAGUGUGAAAGCCCCCGGGCUUAACUUGGGAAUUGCGCUCGAAACUACGUGGCUGGAGUGUGGCAGAGGAAGGUGGAAUUCCAGGUGUAGCGGUGAAAUGCGUAGAGAUCUGGAGGAACACCGAUGGCGAAGGCAGCCUUCUGGGCCAACACUGACGCUCAUGCACGAAAGCGUGGGGGAGCAAACAGG